UACGGAGGGUGCAAGCGUUAAUCGGAAUUACUGGGCGUAAAGCGUGCGUAGGCGGUUAUUUAAGUCAGAUGUGAAAGCCCCGGGCUUAACCUGGGAACUGCAUUUGAUACUGGGUGACUAGAGUUUAGUAGAGGAGAGUGGAAUUUCCGGUGUAGCGGUGAAAUGCGUAGAUAUCGGAAGGAACACCAGUGGCGAAGGCGACUCUCUGGACUAAAACUGACGCCGAGGUACGAAAGCGUGGGUAGCAAAC
rnacentral:rRNA from 1 species